rnacentral:lncRNA from 1 species
UUUAUCGUUCCGACCGUCGCCGCCCAGGCGACGCCUUCAUCCACGUUUUCUGCGCUCUCCCCUCCCUUUGCUUCCCCUCUCAACACUCAAACUAUGGGCGGGCCGACACUUGGCGUCAUGCCUCCAAUCCAUGUGCAUGGACAUGAUGGAGGGGUUCUACGGAUGAAAACAAUCCAUUUUUGACUUGCUGGAUCUCGGGAAGAGGUCCGACGACUUUGCCUGGAGUUCAAUGGCUCCAGCUCCCCAGGAAUCGCGGGGGCAUCGCCGGUCUCUCCUUCUGUUGCUGUCCAGGGGCCGCCGCCUCCUCCUCCUCCUCCUCCUCCUCCUCGAUAGAAGAGCUCGCGCACUCGGAGGAAUUGAAUCUAGGUCUCCCCACAUCAAGAUCCACGCCCUUCCUUCGCCCCUCCUCCAUCUCCCACUCCCUCCUUCGCGUGCCCAUUCACAUUGUCGGCACACCAGUGCAUUCCUUCGAUUCCUCCCUUUUAAAGCCCCCGCCCCUGUUCGUUCAUUUAUUCCAAUCUCCUCUGCCUUUUGGGGGACGCCUGCACCAGGCGAUCUGAUUCGUCCUGAUCCGAGAAGAAGAAC